AAUCCUCAAUGGAUCAACAGGUAGAGCAUCCGGCUGCUAACCGGAGGGUCGUUGGUUAAAUCCGACAGAGGAUUCA
rnacentral:tRNA from 1 species